rnacentral:rRNA from 1 species
GAUGAACGCUGGCGGCGUGCCUAAUACAUGCAAGUCGAGCGAACAGACGAGGCUCUUGCUCCUCUGACGUUAGCGGCGGACGGGUGAGUCACACGUGGAUAACCUACCUAUAAGACUGGGAUAACUUCGGGAAACCGGAGCUAAUACCGGAUAAUAUAUUGAACCGCAUGGUUCAAUAGUGAAAGACGGUUUUGCUGUCACUUAUAGAUGGAUCCGCGCCGCAUUAGCUAGUUGGUAAGGUAACGGCUUACCAAGGCAACGAUGCGUAGCCGACCUGAGAGGGUGAUCGGCCACACUGGAACUGAGACACGGUCCAGACUCCUACGGGAGGCAGCAGUAGGGAAUCUUCCGCAAUGGGCGAAAGCCUGACGGAGCAACGCCGCGUGAGUGAUGAAGGUCUUCGGAUCGUAAAACUCUGUUAUUAGGGAAGAACAAAUGUGUAAGUAACUAUGCACGUCUUGACGGUACCUAAUCAGAAAGCCACGGCUAACUACGUG